rnacentral:rRNA from 1 species
AUACGGAGGGUGCAAGCGUUGUUCGGAAUUACUGGGCGUAAAGCGCGUGCAGGCGGUAAGGUAAGUCAGAUGUGAAAGCCCCGGGCUCAACCCGGGAAGUGCAUUUGAUACUGCCUUUCUUGAGUAUGGGAGAGGAGAGUGGAAUUCCCAGUGUAGAGGUGAAAUUCGUAGAUAUUGGGAGGAACACCCGUGGCGAAGGCGACUCUCUGGACCAAUACUGACGCUGAGACGCGAAAGCGUGGGGAACGAACAGGAUUAGAAACCCUAGUAGUCC